GACCUCAGAUCAGGCGAGAUUACCCGCUGAAUUUAAGCAUAUUAAUAAGCGGAGGAAAAGAAACUAACA
rnacentral:rRNA from 1 species